AAUAGAUACCCGGGUAGUCCACGCCGUAAACGAUGGAUGCUAGCUGUUAGAAGUAUCGACCCUUCUAGUAGCGUAGCUAACGCGUUAAGCAUCCCGCCUGUGGAGUACGGUCGCAAGACUAAAACAUAAAGGAAUUGACGGGGACCCGCACAAGCGGUGGAGCGUGUUGUUUAAUUCGAUGAUAAGCGAAGAACCUUACCCAGGCUUGACAUCCCACUAAGGACUCCGAAAGGAGACUGUGUCUUCGGACCGUGGUGACAGGUGUUGCAUGGCCGUCGUCAGCUCGUGUCGUGAGAUGUUUGGUUAAGUCCAUCAACGAGCGCAACCCUUAUAGUUAGUUGUAUUUCUCUAGCUAGACUGCCCUGGCAACAGGGAGGAAGGAGGGGAUGAUGUCAGGUCAGUAUUACCCUUACGUCUGGGGCUACAAACACGCUACAAUGGCCGGUACAAAGGGCAGCCAACCCGCGAGGGGGAGCAAAUCCCAUCAAAGCCGGUCUCAGUUCGGAUUGCAGGCUGAAACUCGCCUGCAUGAAG
rnacentral:rRNA from 1 species